GUGAAAUCCUGGACACAGUGUACAAGUCCAGCUGGCUGGUGGGACAGAUGUUCAAUUCAGUGCCCUGGUGAACUACUUGCAAGCAAUCCAUGUGAGACCUUCACAAUCGUGAGAACCUGCUUCCCAUAGCGGGAAACGGGGACAACAGAGCUGGAAUACUUCAUAAGAGAUGAAGCUGCUACAACUUGCCUUCCUUUCUCCCAGAGCUGUGCAGCCGCUGCUGCCAAAAGCACUCUUCUAUUGGAGCACACGCAGCAGGUGACACAGUGUGGACAUGAGAAAACACGGAAGACCCUUGUUAAUUACCUGUGCAGAUGACACCAGACUAGAAGAACUAAGGAUUAUGAAGAUAAGGGAGAAGAGUUGAACUUCUAUCUAGCUGUGACCUUGUCGUGUGUUAACUGGAG
rnacentral:lncRNA from 1 species